rnacentral:rRNA from 1 species
UGCAAGUCGAACGGGAAUCUUCGGAUUCUAGUGGCGGACGGGUGAGUAACGCGUAAGAAUCUAACUUCAGGACGGGGACAACAGUUGGAAACGACUGCUAAUACCCGAUGUGCCGAAAGGUGAAACCUAAUUGGCCUGAAGAAGAGCUUGCGUCUGAUUAGCUAGUUGGUGGGGUAAGAGCCUACCAAGGCGACGAUCAGUAGCUGGUCUGAGAGGAUGAGCAGCCACACUGGGACUGAGACACGGCCCAGACUCCUACGGGAGGCAGCAGUGGGGAAUUUUCCGCAAUGGGCGAAAGCCUGACGGAGCAACGCCGCGUGAGGGAGGAAGGUCUUUGGAUUGUAAACCUCUUUUCUCAAGGAAGAAGUUCUGACGGUACUUGAGGAAUCAGCCUCGGCUAACUCCGUGCCAGGAGCGGCGGUAAUACGGGGGAGGCAAGCGUUAUCCGGAAUUAUUGGGCGUAAAGCGUCCGCAGGUGGUCAGCCAAGUCUGCCGUCAAAUCAGGUUGCUUAACGACCUAAAGGCGGUGGAAACUGGCAGACUAGAGAGCAGUAGGGGUAGCAGGAAUUCCCAGUGUAGCGGUGAAAUGCGUAGAGAUUGGGAAGAACAUCGGUGGCGAAAGCGUGCUACUGGGCUGUAUCUGACACUCAGGGACGAAAGCUAGGGGAGCGAAAGGGAUUAGAUACCCCUGUAGUCCUAG